CGGUGCUGGACGAGCCGGGCAGAGCUGAGAGCCAGUGGAACACAUUGUUAUGGCAACAUCACAGUGAGUGUGUUUAGACUACGCUGUGCAGUGAGGUAAUGCCUGUGAUGUAACUUCAAGGAAGCAAACAGGAGAGAGGGGAAUACGUACUAUAGGGGGCAAUGGUGGAAUUGGCAUUAAUGUUUGCCAGACCACAGCACUCAGUGUUAUGUAGGAAACAGAAACUGGAGAGAAGAGGCAAACCCGCCCAGUAACAGAGCUGAUCCAGGAGACUUUUACUUUGAUUUUGUUUUUUGAAAGUUGGGUCUGCAAAAAGAAAACAGCACUGGUCAGUGUGUGGUGAAGCUACUCGAAACCAAGUCCAGUUUUCGUUGGUUGACUCAGCGCUGGUGGGAGUGCACGGCCAAUUCCAGAAACAAAAUUGCCCGGGAAGGCUUUGCUAUUCGUUUGUCUCAGGGAACCCAGAGCUUUUUCUAUGGGUGUGCCCUCUCUAUUUUGCUCCACUCGGGGACUGAACUGUAAUUGCUUGUUUAAGGAUAAUAACAAGGGAAGACUCUCGGAGGAGCCCUGCGCCGCAAUCACCAGCCUUGAGGCAAGCACCGCAACCGCAGUGCAGUGCGACGGAGGAGUGGUGGAUGAGGGGGAGGGAGAGGAACAGAGGAAAAGAGAGACAGACUGGGUAGUAAUUAAGGGCUUAUUUUUCCUGCCGACUGAAGAGCAUCUGCACAGCUCUCACCUGCUCAGAAGGGAUUGUGCUGCUGCUCUGUGUGUCGGUGUGUGUGCAAACGCUAGCCUGCUUCAUUUCUGACAGACUGGCCUCCGCCGCCUGCGCUUUUCCCCAAUGGAUCUCUGACAGUGCAUUGUGAGAGUGUGUAUGUUUAAUGUAAUGCAGGGACAGCAGCCAGCGCAGGCAGCAGGUCUGACAGACAGAGGGAGGUAAUUAAAUUAGGGGUGGCACUCUGGCAACCUGGAGGCUGAAUGAGGCAUUGGGGAUUUUAGCGUGAUCCCCGGGACUCAUUGUUUCCCCUCUCUCAGUAACACACAGUAAGCCUGCGUUACCCAGAGGGCUCACAACAAAUCAAGGAAGAGCAGCACGGGAAGACAAACCUUCAUAAGCACACAUGAUCACUAUCACAUUGAAAUUCAUACGCAUAAGCCAUCUGUUUACACUUGCACAGAACAAUGUUCACAGUGUUCAGUGACCUACAAGGCAGUAUAAUGGCAGGGAGACUGCCUCACUGAGUGCAGCAACCCAGGUCCCCUCACACAGCACUGGGAAUAGAUGUUGGUGUAGUUUGUAGAUGAUGAAGAUCUUUACAUCUUCACACUCACAUUAGUUAUGGCAUCUAAACACUAUCCUAAAAAGGUUUGUCCAACCAACAGUCCAAAUAACAGAUAUUAAGGCUAUCAUAAAAGAGAGAAGCUGAACAUUCUCACAGUUCAGAGGAUGGAACAAAGUAAUGACUGGAAUUUAUGCUUAACAUUACUUAAAUGGCCUACUUGCCUCCUUGUAAAGCAACAAGGAACCAGAGGUGAUGUCCAUAGGACUCCUUAGCAGUGGCAGAUUGAUUCUUUUAACACAUUUGGUUCCUUCAAGUUGAUAAAAGUACCAAACCUUUUAAACCUUUUGGGGUUUGUUACCUUUUGUAAAUAUGGUAUAGGAAAUGCACAGAUUAAGCAUCUCACUUGUUUAUGUAGACAGGCUAUGUAAGCCCAACACACAAUAUUACAGAAAUAUGAUUUGACUGCCUAAAAUUGUCAUUCUUCCUGGGAAAGUAGCAGAUAUCCCAGUCCCUGUUAGAGUCAACGGUUGUGUUGGUCUCGUUCAGUGUUGGUGAGUCAGUGUAGCUGCCAGGCUCUGGACUGAGUGCUGGACUUGGUCACUAGUUGACAUCCUCAUUUAGGACAAGGUACCAACAAGAGUAAAGCAUCAUAAAAGUGCUAUUAGUAUACAACGUUUACAUAUGUUUAACCCCCAGUACAGCCCUGUUUAUACCUCAGAUAAAGUCUUGGGGGGGGAGGUCUGGGUAGUUGGAAAUAUGCAGCUUCUAUAUUGGAGACCAGUUAGUGUUACCUCCUUUCAACUGUCAACAUUGUUGCAUUCUCCUGUUUGCACUGCACUUGGUCCUGGCCUAACACAGUAACUUUAUCAUGUUUGGUUUUUUAGUGUUUCUUUUCACAUCAUUGUUGUAACCAUUUUGUACUAGUGGGAGUGGCACUCACCGAUUUAGCUACUUGUGUGGUUGCUGCUCAUUUUCAAACUCAGUGGCAACAUCUUGGUUGGCCCCUUCAUGUGUGUGAUAAGAUUGUGUUGUUCCACAUUUGACCCAAGUUGACUCCUUUGUGAGUAGUCCCAUUUGUUUGACAAAACUGCCUCAUAUUGAAGAGUUCUUGAUUUAGUUAAUUCAGUUUUUUUCUAGCGCUAACACACAGAUAAGCAGAAGCAGAGGUUGGAGUGAAUAGUAUCUAAAUUCAGAAUAAGACCUCUGGUUUGAUGGUUGGGUGUACAAACUGUGUAACUUCGGUUCAUAUCCCUUCUUCUACCAACAGUAAAGGGUUUUCUUUCAGUUUCUUUCAGAUUUGUGCCAUGAAAAUGUUCUGGCUGCCCAUACCUGCAACCAUUUGUAAAAAUCCAAAGAAAAUUCUAAGUUCCAAAGAAAUAGCUGAUCUAAUAUGAAGUUUGCCACACUAUCAAACUAGGAAAAUGUUCUUUUGAGUUAAUGUUGAAGUUGGCAACUGCAUGCAUGUCACCACCUUUUAAACACUAGUUCAAGUGCUGAACAUUUACAGUGAACAGACAUAGUUGUGGAGGUCCAACACAGAUGGGGUUCAGUUUCUAUUGUACCACUGAGGGUUAUGGGUGUAUUCUGCUCUGACAGCUGGUCUUGGAGCAGUGCCUUCACUUUAACAGUGGUGGGGGCUGCAACGGAGGAGAAAAAGCCUUAACCGGAGGAGAGAUUUAUAGCCCGUCUGUGAUGGCAAGUUGGCCUGAGUUCAGCAUUUUAACACCUCUAAAGAAAUAAAGAGAGAUAAAGAGAGGGAAAGGAACGAAGAAAAUAUAUCAGUGGAGGAAUCUAUGAAAUGGAGGAUAAUCUGAAACAUACUUUUGUUUUUAGAUCUUUUGUGGACAGUUUUGCCUUUCAUUUAAUAAAUUACUGUAUUUAAAUGUAAUUUGUUACUCUCUGAUGGUUUGUUAAACCUGCCGAAAUGUUCAAUAAUUCAGAAAAUUGUUGUUAAGGUUAUGCAUGCAAAAUCUCAUCACAGCAUCAAUAGAUGUUUUAAAUUAUUAUUACAACAGAGAACAGACACAACAAAGAAAAGAGAACAAACACUAGACCAAAGUCUCACUAAAUCAGGCCAUAAUCCAGAUCAAGCCCGUACAUCCAGAUAAACACACACAUAAAUACAUAUUUCAUCACAACACACUGUAUGUCAGCCAUCCCCAUUAGGUAACAUUAAAGGAUAUUUAUAUUAAAAAAAGAUGAAAUGCUUGUUCCUACUUUACAUGUUCAAAUUUAAAUGUGACAGCUUAAUUACAUAUAAAAAUAAACAUUUUCUUUUACAUAUACCCAGUCAGGCAAUGUCAGAGAGCCAACAAACAAACAAAUUAAUAGUGGUAACCAAACACACAAAACAACAACCACCACAGGAAAUAAUUAAUUAAUGGAGGGAAGCCUGCGAGCUAGUUCAGGCAGUCAACUCGAGCUGCGCUGCUAUACACACAUGACAUGCCUCACUCCAUAAUCACUAACCAAGCGCACCCUUCCAAUCCGGCGGUCUAUUUAAACUGCAAAAUUUCCCAGCUCUCCUUCUGCGCUGUAAGCUAUUGCUGCCUGCUGUGCUGUAAGCCCCACCACCACCCCAGCAUCCACCUUUAGGCUCUGGUUAGGGUUUAAGGUAUUUGCUCAUCACUUCCCAAUAUGUCCAUGUAAACAUAUCUGCGCGGAGUGAUGAGGUCGGAUCUAAAUAUGCUAUACUGCUGUAGUAAACAUUUUAAAUGUGAUUUGUCUGACUGAAAUUUAGAAAAAGAACGGCCAGAACAUAAGGGGUUUGGCCUCUGCAGGUCAUAAACUUGCUAUCUUACUGUGGUAAUGGGUAAAUGUGCAUUAGUCUGACUACAUGUUUUAUUAACAUACAACACUUAAAUAAUAGAUGACAUAUUAAGAGAAAGAAAAAAAAAACUAGGAUGGAAUUUAUAAUGGAUGAUGAACUGUAAGAUCAUAUAGUUACAGUUUUAAUUUGUUGAGAACAGAAGUGGAGUGAACUUGGGAGAAGAUGUGUUUUGUAAAUCAUCUUUGAACAUUUGUGAUGUCUUGUUAUUUGUGUUCAGGAUUUGAUGAAAUGUGUAGCUUGGGCUUGGGUUGUGAAAAAUCCUUUUGGCAAGUUUUUUUUUUGAAUUUCCGUUAUAAAUGUUGGUAAUCCAUUGAUGAAUGCUUGUACGUUUCCUAUUUACGAACAAACCAUUUAGUCUGCAGUUAUAAAUGUUAAUAAGUAAUUAAAGUUGUGUUCAUGGUUCUGGAGAUCCCUGUGCUUCUUUAAAGCUCAACAAGCUCGAUUCGUUGUUUUCAUUCAUACAAAUUUGCAAAUGCCAUUAGGAGCACAAGGAGGUCCCAGAGGAAGCAGAUUUUUUCACAGAUUAUCUGUCUCAUGUUCUGCUGUCAGGAUGUAGAGAACAUUUCCACAAAUAUGAGCUAACGUUUCAGAAAAUAAUGCGUUAUUUCUGUAUGUGAUCUCAGAGACCGCGUCCUUUAAAUAACAUAAAUACCCUGGAUUUUCAACUGC